UUGCUCAUGAUGAGCUCAUCCAUCGUCCCCUCUUCAUGGAAGCACAUGUCGCCCGGCUCUUGUGAUCCUCCUCUUCCUCUUCCUCGUCUCUAAUUCCAAUCCGGUCUCCAUUUCGGAUCCAAAGCGGACAACAUGAUUGCCACAGUAAGUGAUCCCCAUCUCGAAUCUCAUAUCUCCUCUCCCUUUUCGUCCUCCUCGCAGCAAUCGAGUGAUCUCUGGACGCAGCGGUUUAUCGAUCUCUUCCUGGCCUUGUCGGUCUCUUUUCGGGGUGGAUUCGAUGGUUUCUUUUCUUGCUGAGGUUACAAAGCCGGAAUCGGUCGAUAAACCUCUGCAUCCGGACUUCCGCCGACAACCAUUCCUCCGUCCUCCCCCCAACCCAAAACACUCCCCCCCCAACCCCACCUUCUUCCUCCACUUGUUUUCGUCAUCUUAUAUAAUGAUUGGGCAAUGAAGAGGUGGUAGCUGUUAGGGCUAAUUGAUACGGCCGAUUCGAUGCCGAUUUCGAUCCCUUUUUUUUACUCAGAUUAUUGUCGGCAUUCUGCAGAAUUUCAAUCAACGAAUAAUGGUGCCAUCAGCAUUUAGAUCGAUUCAAAAUGGGUGACGUCUUGAGUUGUGAUGAUGGACAGAGAAAACAGUAAAUAUGUUUGAUUUAAUGUCUCUCAGUUCUUUCUUAUGCCUUCAAUUUUUCAUUGUUCUUUUGGAUUCGUUUAUCAUUUCAUUAUCUUCACCAUUUGAUCUAUCCAUAUUUUGGAUUAUUCACUGAAUAGGACGUAAAUGUUUUGUAUUAAACAGACAGCAGAGGACUACUAGAAAUCUUUAUUUACAGAAACUACCAUUAUUGGUUAAUUCGUCAAGGAUGAGAGGUCGGAAUAUACUCUGAGAUGGCUUAAACUUUGCUUUGGGAGGACUAAAUGGGGAAAAUAAGCUCAACUGGUCAAAUUAAUGUGACAGGAUGGCACAGUUUUUAUGAAGAUGAUUGAGAUAUAUUCCAUAUUUUGAUGUUUAAACAGUUAGCCUCAGAAAUAUUUUUCAUUUAAUUUAUUCCUUCUACCAAGAUUUGUUGUUCUCCAUGGAUGUGAACCUCCCUAUAUUUGUUAUGUUUGCAAUGCUUGAAGGUGAAUCUGUAUAAAGAAUUUAAACAUAAAUAUUUUUCUAACAUUUAGCCACACGAAUAUUUUUCAUUUAAUUAAUUCCUUUUACCCAGAUUCCUUGUUCUACAUGCAUGUGAACAUCUCUAUAUUUGUUAUGUUUGCAAUGCUUGAAGGUGAAUCUGUAUAAAGAAUUUAAACAUAAAUAUUCUUCUGAC
rnacentral:lncRNA from 1 species